CCCACUCUGUCUCGGCUCCGGGAGCCAGGUUUGGUCUCGGAUCUACAGGGUUCAUAAAAAGGAGGACAAAUGCCAAAGAAUAAUUGCCGCUUCUAUUCCCUUUCAAUGCCUUCAAUACCUCCCAUUUUUGUUUGAUAUAUUUAUUUGCAUACUUCUACCUUUCCAUAACUUCUUUUCAUUGAUUUUAGGAAAAUCGGCAACACGUAUAAUAAUAUUUUUGGUGGUAUCCGACCCGAACAGGCUGAGUGGAUGCGACCGAUGAUUUCCCAAACUGUGUAGCUGAGGAUGUCAGCAUCAGUGUUUAUUGGAGAGAUUGGAUUGGAUCGUCCCCCCUAAUACCAGCAUGGCGCAGGUGGUGAUCGAGCUCUUUUGCUCCAGUGGCCGAACAGUUUUUUAAGUCAAUAGAGAGCUAAUGUACUAGCCGCCUGGUUAUUACUUCAUUCUGUGGCACGACAGCUGAGUUAUUGUGGAGAGAUGUUGCACCGUUCAGCUUUUAACCUCGCAAUUUUUUGGACCUUGGUCAUCAGUGUGGGACAACACCUCCACAUGUGGGAUAGUAUUGGACAUAUAUAUGACCUGCCUGCUUCUCUUGCCUGCUUCUCUACAAAAACGCAGCAAUACAGAUGGGCCUGAUUCACGGAGGGCUAUAAUCAACUAGCUUGCUAUACCAUAAUCCAUUUUGAAAUAUUCUCGGAUUUUUGGGUGCAAGGUUGGCAUGGCAAGUCUUCGUCCCAUGUCAUGAUUGAUAACCCAGAUUGGAUUCCGACUUAGCCAAGAAAGGGGGAAAUCGGAUUGCAUUUGAGAAAGGAUAAAGGAGGAAAAGGGAAAAUAAAUAAAAGGAAACAAACAAAUUAAAAACACACAAUGAGCGAAGAACCCGAUCAAAUCUUUCCGGACGUGGAUCGCGCCAAGAAUGGAUAUCUCGCGGACAAGAUGAACAAGGCGCUCAGAACAUUGACUACCCGAAAGGGACUCAUUGGCGACUAUAACUACGCUUUUUUAUUCACGCCGAAUCUCCCCUUUAUGAAAUCACAGCGGAGGGGGGCGCCUUUUUUUGGCUUGGA
rnacentral:sRNA from 2 species